rnacentral:rRNA from 1 species
CAAUAGCCUAUAUUAAAGUUGUUGCAGUUAAAAAGCUCGUAGUUGGGUUUCUGGUUGAAGCGACCGGUCGGGCGUUGAUUCGUCUGCACUGGAGUCGGUUUUGGCCAUCCUCUAGGAAAGUGCGUCUGGUAUUAAGUUAUCGGGCGUAUGAUCCUGGUCUUUUACUGUGAAAAAAUUAGAGUGUUUAAAGCAGGCCUUCGCCUUGAAUACAUUAGCAUGGAAUAAUAAGAUAGGACUUUGGUCUAUUUUGUUGGUUUGCAGACCGAAGUAAUGAUUAAUAGGGAUAGUUGGGGGUAUUUAUAUUCCGAUGUCAGAGGUGAAAUUCUUAGAUUUUCGGAAGAUAAACUUAUGCGAAAGCAUUUACCAAGGAUGUUUUCAUUAA